rnacentral:rRNA from 1 species
ACCAUCCUAAGGUAGCGAAAUUCCUUGUCGGGUAAGUUCCGACCUGCACGAAUGGAGUAACGACUUCCCUACUGUCUCAACCAUGAACUCGGCGAAAUUGCAGUACGAGUAAAGAUGCUCGUUUCGCGCAGCAGGACGGAAAGACCCCGUGACCUUUACUAUAGUUUGGUAUUGGUGUUUGGUUUGGCUUGUGUAGGAUAGGUGGGAGACUGUGAAGCAUGGACGCUAGUUUGUGUGGAGUCGUUGUUGAAAUACCACUCUGGUCAAUCUGGAUGUCUAACUUCGGGCCAUGAUCUGGUUCAGGGACAGUGCCUGAUGGGUAGUUUAACUGGGGCGGUUGCCUCCUAAAGUGUAACGGAGGCGCCCAAAGGUUCCCUCAGCCUGGUUGGCAAUCAGGUGUUGAGUGUAAGUGCACAAGGGAGCUUGACUGUGAGACUGGCAGGUCGAGCAGGGACGAAAGUCGGGACUAGUGAUCCGGCGGUACGUUGUGGAACGGCCGUCGCUCAACGGAUAAAAGGUACCUCGGGGAUAACAGGCUGAUCUUGCCCAAGAGUCCAUAUCGACGGCAUGGUUUGGCACCUCGAUGUCGGCUCGUCGCAUCCUGGGGCUGGAGUCGGUCCCAAGGGUUGGGCUGUUCGCCCAUUAAAGCGGUACGCGAGCUGGGUUCAGAACGUCGUGAGACAGUUCGGUCCCUAUCCGCUGCGCGCGUUGGAAAUUUGAGAAAGGCUGUCCUUAGUACGAGAGGACCGGGACGGACGAACCUCUGGUAUGUCAGUUGUACCGCCAGGUGCAUGGCUGAUUGGCUACGUUCGGGAGGGAUAACCGCUGAAAGCAUCUAAGCGGGAAGCCUGUUUCGAGAUGAGAUUUCCUGGCACUUUUUGGUGUGUGAGGCUCCUUAUAGAUGAUGAGGUUGAUAGGCCGGGUAUGGAAGCGGGGACUGAAGACUCGUGGAGUUGACUGGUACUAAUAGGCUGAAGGCUUACUUU